rnacentral:rRNA from 1 species
UUAAGCGACUAAGCGUACACGGUGGAUGCCCUGGCAGUCAGAGGCGAUGAAGGACGUGCUAAUCUGCGAUAAGCGUCGGUAAGGUGAUAUGAACCGUUAUAACCGGCGAUUUCCGAAUGGGGAAACCCAGUGUGUUUCGUCACACUAUCAUUAACUGAAUCCAUAGGUUAAUGAGGCGAACCGGGGGAACUGAAACAUCUAAGUACCCCGAGGAAAAGAAAUCAACCGAGAUUCCCCCAGUAGCGGCGAGCGAACGGGGAGGAGCCCAGAGCCUGAAUCAGUGUGUGUGUUAGUGGAAGCGUCUGGAAAGGCGCGCGAUACAGGGUGACAGCCCCGUACAACAAAAAUGCACAUGCUGUGAGCUCGAUGAGUAGGGCGGGACACGUGGUAUCCUGUCUGAAUAUGGGGGGACCAUCCUCCAAGGCUAAAUACUCCUGACUGACCGAUAGUGAACCAGUACCGUGAGGGAAAGGCGAAAAGAACCCCGGCGAGGGGAGUGAAAAAGAACCUGAAACCGUGUACGUACAAGCAGUGGGAGCACGCUUAGGCGUGUGACUGCGUACCUUUUGUAUAAUGGGUCAGCGACUUAUAUUCUGUAGCAAGGUUAACCGAAUAGGGGAGCCGAAGGGAAACCGAGUCUUAACUGGGCGUUAAGUUGCAGGGUAUAGACCCGAAACCCGGUGAUCUAGCCAUGGGCAGGUUGAAGGUUGGGUAACACUAACUGGAGGACCGAACCGACUAAUGUUGAAAAAUUAGCGGAUGACUUGUGGCUGGGGGUGAAAGGCCAAUCAAACCGGGAGAUAGCUGGUUCUCCCCGAAAGCUAUUUAGGUAGCGCCUCGUGAAUUCAUCUCCGGGGGUAGAGCACUGUUUCGGCAAGGGGGUCAUCCCGACUUACCAACCCGAUGCAAACUGCGAAUACCGGAGAAUGUUAUCACGGGAGACACACGGCGGGUGCUAACGUCCGUCGUGAAGAGGGAAACAACCCAGACCGCCAGCUAAGGUCCCAAAGUCAUGGUUAAGUGGGAAACGAUGUGGGAAGGCCCAGACAGCCAGGAUGUUGGCUUAGAAGCAGCCAUCAUUUAAAGAAAGCGUAAUAGCUCACUGGUCGAGUCGGCCUGCGCGGAAGAUGUAACGGGGCUAAACCAUGCACCGAAGCUGCGGCAGCGACGCUGAUGCGUUGUUGGGUAGGGGAGCGUUCUGUAAGCCUGUGAAGGUGUGCUGUGAGGCAUGCUGGAGGUAUCAGAAGUGCGAAUGCUGACAUAAGUAACGAUAAAGCGGGUGAAAAGCCCGCUCGCCGGAAGACCAAGGGUUCCUGUCCAACGUUAAUCGGGGCAGGGUGAGUCGACCCCUAAGGCGAGGCCGAAAGGCGUAGUCGAUGGGAAACAGGUUAAUAUUCCUGUACUUGGUGUUACUGCGAAGGGGGGACGGAGAAGGCUAUGUUGGCCGGGCGACGGUUGUCCCGGUUUAAGCGUGUAGGCUGGUUUUCCAGGCAAAUCCGGAAAACUAAGGCUGAGGCGUGAUGACGAGGCACUACGGUGCUGAAGCAACAAAUGCCCAGCUUCCAGGAAAAGCCUCUAAGCAUCAGGUAACAUCAAAUCGUACCCCAAACCGACACAGGUGGUCAGGUAGAGAAUACCAAGGCGCUUGAGAGAACUCGGGUGAAGGAACUAGGCAAAAUGGUGCCGUAACUUCGGGAGAAGGCACGCUGAUAUGUAGGUGAAGUCCCUCGCGGAUGGAGCUGAAAUCAGUCGAAGAUACCAGCUGGCUGCAACUGUUUAUUAAAAACACAGCACUGUGCAAACACGAAAGUGGACGUAUACGGUGUGACGCCUGCCCGGUGCCGGAAGGUUAAUUGAUGGGGUCAGCGCAAGCGAAGCUCUUGAUCGAAGCCCCGGUAAACGGCGGCCGUAACUAUAACGGUCCUAAGGUAGCGAAAUUCCUUGUCGGGUAAGUUCCGACCUGCACGAAUGGCGUAAUGAUGGCCAGGCUGUCUCCACCCGAGACUCAGUGAAAUUGAACUCGCUGUGAAGAUGCAGUGUACCCGCGGCAAGACGGAAAGACCCCGUGAACCUUUACUAUAGCAUGACACUGAACAUUGAGCCUUGAUGUGUAGGAUAGGUGGGAGGCUUUGAAGUGUGGACGCCAGUCUGCAUGGAGCCGACCUUGAAAUACCACCCUUUAAUGUUUGAUGUUCUAACGUUGACCCGUAAUCCGGGUUGCGGACAGUGUCUGGUGGGUAGUUUGACUGGGGCGGUCUCCUCCUAAAGAGUAACGGAGGAGCACGAAGGUUGGCUAAUCCUGGUCGGACAUCAGGAGGUUAGUGCAAUGGCAUAAGCCAGCUUGACUGCGAGCGUGACGGCGCGAGCAGGUGCGAAAGCAGGUCAUAGUGAUCCGGUGGUUCUGAAUGGAAGGGCCAUCGCUCAACGGAUAAAAGGUACUCCGGGGAUAACAGGCUGAUACCGCCCAAGAGUUCAUAUCGACGGCGGUGUUUGGCACCUCGAUGUCGGCUCAUCACAUCCUGGGGCUGAAGUAGGUCCCAAGGGUAUGGCUGUUCGCCAUUUAAAGUGGUACGCGAGCUGGGUUUAGAACGUCGUGAGACAGUUCGGUCCCUAUCUGCCGUGGGCGCUGGAGAACUGAGGGGGGCUGCUCCUAGUACGAGAGGACCGGAGUGGACGCAUCACUGGUGUUCGGGUUGUCAUGCCAAUGGCACUGCCCGGUAGCUAAAUGCGGAAGAGAUAAGUGCUGAAAGCAUCUAAGCACGAAACUUGCCCCGAGAUGAGUUCUCCCUGACCCUUUAAGGGUCCUGAAGGAACGUUGAAGACGACGACGUUGAUAGGCCGGGUGUGUAAGCGCAGCGAUGCGUUGAGCUAACCGGUACUAAUGAACCGUGAGGCUUAACCUU